rnacentral:lncRNA from 1 species
AGGGCAGUGCAUGCUAUGGCCUUGCAUUGUUCACGGCGUGGACGAAGAAAGCAGGUUGGCAGCCGUGGCUAGGAAUCUAGCAAGACUUGUUAUCCACGUAGCCGGCCUGUGGUCCUUCUUGGUCCGUCUUCCGGGGAGUUUGAAGUCGUAUCCUUUGCAGUCCUUAGUUUACAUUUCUCGCAAGAUUCGGCUUUGGUUUGCUUUCCAUGACCAACUUUAGGAGCGAGAGCACAGCAGCUUAGCGAGGGCGCCGCUAAUGGCAGGCAGCUGCGCUGGUGCUGAAACAAAGGUAAAGCAGGAGGUAAGCAGGCAGGGAAUAACCAGUAACUUGCAGGCCACUUCUGGUAGUGACCAUCAUGGAUGGAGCCAUGGAGGAGGUGACUGAGCGAGGGAGAUAGAUUUAUCAGGUCAGGUUCCUGAUGCUUUUUUUUCCUUUCUGUCUUGUGAGAGAAAACCCAAAUUUAAAUUUAAAAGCUUAAGGGGGGCAACGCAAAAGCGUGUUUGGAGUGAAUAAAAGUAUUGCAUGGGCGGGGGCGCUUUAACUAAUCUAAAGCUAGAUUCGAGCUUGUGCGCGCCCCGAGGCUAACGAAUAGUUUUUAACUUGUUUAUUUGCUGCAAGGAAAGAUUGAGAUUAGGGGAAUCUGAACCCUGAAACCGC